GCCUGAGAGAUAAACUAACAGUGAGAGGUGAGCUAAACCUGAGAGCUAAGCUAAGCCUGAGACAUGAGCUAACAGAGGUGAGCUAAGCCUGAGAGAUAAACUAACAGUGAGAGAUAAACUAAGCCUGAGAGAUAAGUUAAACCUGAGAGAUAAACUAAGCCUGAGAGAUGAGCUAACUAAGAGAGGUGAGCUAAGCAUGCAAAAUCAGCCAACUGUGUUAUCCACAUGUUUUAAUUGAAUGAGGGAAAGCAGCAGGCCCUGCUGCUCUCCAGGACCUGUGA